rnacentral:rRNA from 1 species
GCGGGGCGGAGACGACUGUACUGCAGCUGCAGCUGAUCGUAGGCGGUUUAUUAAGUCAGUGGUGAAUCUUGCAGCUUAACUGUAAAAUUGCCGUUGAUACUGCUAAACUUGAAUACUAUGGAAGUAAUUAGAAUAUGUAGUGUAGCGGUGAAAUGCUUAGAUAUUACAUGGAAUACCAAUUGCGAAGGCAGAUUACUACGUAGUUAUUGACGCUGAUGAACGAAAGCGUGGGUAGCGAACAGGAUUAGAUACCCUGGUAGUCCACGCCGUAAACGAUGGAUACUAGCUGUUCGGUUUUCGGACUGAGUGGCUAAGCGAAAGUGAUAAUUAUCCCACCUGGGGAGUACGUUCGCAAGAAUGAAACUCAAAGGAAUUGACGGGGGCCCGCACAAGCGGUGGAGCAUGUGGUUUAAUUCGAUGAUACGCGAGGAACCUUACCAAGGCUUAAAUGUAUAUUGACAGGUUUAGAGAUAGACUUUUCUUCGGACAAUUUACAAAGUGCUGCAUGGUUGUCGUCAGCUCGUGCCGUGAGGUGUCAGGUUAAGUCCUAUAACGAGCGCAACCCCUAUUGUUAGUUGCCAGCGGGUCAAGCCGGGAACUCUAUCAAGACUGCCGGUGCAAACCGUGAGGAAGGUGGGGAUGACGUCAAAUCAUCACGGCCCUUACGUCUUGGGCUACACACGUGCUACAAUGGCCAGUACAGAAAGCAGCUACCAGCAACUGGAUGCGAAUCUCUAAAGCUGGUCUCAUUUCGGAUUGGAUCUGCAACUCGACUCCAUGAAGCUGGAAUCGCUAGUAAUCGGAUAUCAGCCAUUGAUCCGCUGAAUACAUCCCCCGGCGCCAUAAACAAAAA